rnacentral:rRNA from 1 species
AGGGCACCACCAGGAGUGGAGCCUGCGGCUUAAUUUGACUCAACACGGGAAACCUCACCCGGCCCAGACACCAGAAGGAUUGACAGACUGAGAGCUCUUUCUUGAUUUGGUGGAUGGUGGUGCAUGGCCGUUCUUAGUUGGUGGAGUGAUUUGUCUGGUUAAUUCCGAUAACGAACGAGACUCUGGCCUACUAAAUAGACCGCCGAUCUUUGUGUUGCUGGUGUCUGCUUAUAGGGACAAGGAAGGUCCAGUGUGCUUGAAAUGCGGCAAUAACUGGUCUGUGAUGCCCUUGUAUGUUCUGGGCCGCACACGCGCUGCACUGAAGGAGACAACAUGGAUGCCUGGUGCUUAAGGCUCCGGACACCCAAUGAAUCGCCUUCCUGGUGAAUUUUGAUGUUUGCUGUUGUUGUUCCUGAACGAUGAAUUCCCAGAAAGAGCAAGUCAUAAGCUUGCCCUGACUACAUCCCUGCUCUUUGACCACCCUGCCCGUCGCUCCUACCGAUCGUAUGAACUACCGAU